rnacentral:rRNA from 1 species
CUACACCGCCUCCCGGAGGACAUCGUGGUGUGGGAGAUCCUCGUCCGCCUCCCUGCCAGGGACAUCCUCCGCUGCCGUGCGCUCUGCCGCUCCUGGAGCCGCCUCGCCUCCGCCCCCGAUUUCCUCCUCGCCCACCACCGGCGUCAGCCGUCGCUCCCCCUCGCCGUGCUCUACGGCGGCACGGCCAGUUCAAGUACAGAGGCUGGCCACCGAGUUUUGGGGCGAGGCGAUGGCUGCAUGCUGCACGCCUCCUGCGACGGCCUCCUCCUGCUAAGCAUGUCUAACGGCUGCUUCAGCAUCUGCAACCCAGCCACGCGUCAGUGCGCUUCACUCCCGGACCUCCCCACCCCAGGUUACAUCAAAAUUGCGGCACUGUACUUGCAUCGCAAGUCCCGCGAGUACCGUGUCCUUUACCGGAAAGCAGCUGUGUACUACAUCCUUACGGUGCCGGUGGGCUCGCCGAGCUGCAUCGUGGUUCCUUCGGAUAGCCCUGGCAUGAAGCUAUGUUAUUUGGCCCCACCCGUCGUGUUCCGCAAUCACCUUCACUGGGGACCUGAUUGGCCUCACUACGAUGUCGGCCUACUUGUUUUCGACACAGUGGUCGAGUCAUUUAGGUCCAUGCGCUGCCCGGCUGGUGCUACCGGCAGCUCCGCUCAUCUGCGUGACAUGGAAGGUUCGAUUGGCUUCAGUUGGUUAGACUAUUUGAGGUCAGUCGUCACAAUCUGGGUACUGGAGGACUACGAGAGGGAGGUCUGGGCAUUCAAGUACCAUGUUAAAUUCCCAUUCCCAGCGGAGAUCUUGUGUCGCAGUAGCAUUGCAUAUACAUGCCAUUGCGUUUUGUCCCAUGAGGGAGAUGUGCUGGUCUACAGUAUUUGUGACUGUCGGAUCUUCCACUGUGACGGCGACGGCAAGUUGCUAGAGGAAUUCCGGUGGGAAUACAACUCACAACGUUUGAAAAUUAUUGGACACAAGUUUAAAGAAAGCCUCGUCGAGCAUGAAUUGUUC